GUAGGAGGUGUUGGUUGCGAGAGAAAAACAGAAAAGUACAGAGAGAGUAUAUAGUUUAGAACUAUAGAGAUGGAUGGAUGGUAGGGAGAGUGUUUGUAGAAUCAAAGAGAGAUCAUUAGAGAGGAAUUAAUGAUGAUGAAUAAUUUGUAAGUUUAUGGUUAAGAGUGGUACAGGGAGAAAUAGUUAUAGAAUGAGAAGAGGUUCUUUGGCUGUUGGGAAUCAGUGAGAGGCAUGGUGGAUAUUUGAAAAGUUAUGAUAUUGAUUAGGAAGGAUGUUAAAGCUCAAAUCAACGGUGUUGAUGAAAUUAAUUUAUCAAAGAUGGAGAUUAUAACAACUAGAGAAACUAAGCAAGUUAAUCUUUAUUAACAACGAUCGAUUUAAAGGACGAACCUGUGGAUUGAAGAUCUCGAGGUAGGAGAGGCUUGUCAUCAAAAGAGUUUCAGAGACAGAUCAAGAUGUGCAUGUGACGAUGAAAGCUUCGAAGAAUUAUUUAUUUUAAUUAGUUAGCUUCUGCUAUGUUAUUUUGUGUUUGUAUUCUAUUUGUAAAUCAAAUCAUUAUUGAAUAUGUAACAUUUGAGAGAAGUUCUUGUAUAUAAAUUUCAGAGUGUGGAUAGUUUUCGGGUUAAGUUUUGUAGCAGUUAUCUUAAUUGAAUGUUAAGUAAAUGAUUUGGAUUCUUAGUGCCU